UGGGGAAUAUUGGGCAAUGGGCGAAAGCCUGACCCAGCAACGCCGCGUGAAGGAAGAAGGCCUUCGGGUUGUAAACUUCUUUGAUCGGGGACGAACACAAUGACGGUACCCGAAAAACAAGCCACGGCUAACUACGUGCCAGCAGCCGCGGUAAUACGUAGGUGGCAAGCGUUAUCCGGAUUUACUGGGUGUAAAGGGCGUGUAGGCGGAUCGACAAGUUGGAUGUGAAAUGUACCGGCUCAACUGGUACGCUGCACCCAAAACUGUCGACCUUGAGUGUUGGAGAGGAUAGUGGAAUUCCUAGUGUAGCGGUAAAAUGCGUAGAUAUUAGGAGGAACACCAGUGGCGAAGGCGGCUAUCUGGACAACAACUGACGCUGAGGCGCGAAAGCGUGGGGAGCAAACAGG
rnacentral:rRNA from 1 species